CUUUCCCUCUUUCUUUAGGCCUAACACAUGCGAGUCGAACGGCAGCACAGUAAGAGCUUGCUCUUACGGGUGGCGAGUGGCGGACGGGUGAGGAAUACAUCGGAAUCUACUUUUUCGUGGGGGAUAACGUAGGGAAACUUACGCUAAUACCGCAUACGACCUACGGGUGAAAGCAGGGGAUCUUCGGACCUUGCGCGAUUGAAUGAGCCGAUGUCGGAUUAGCUAGUUGGCGGGGUAAAGGCCCACCAAGGCGACGAUCCGUAGCUGGUCUGAGAGGAUGAUCAGCCACACUGGAACUGAGACACGGUCCAGACUCCUACGGGAGGCAGCAGUGGGGAAUAUUGGACAAUGGGCGCAAGCCUGAUCCAGCUAUACCGCGUGGGUGAAGAAGGCCUUCGGGUUGUAAAGCCCUUUUGUUGGGAAAGAAAAGCAGCAGGUUAAUACCCCGCUGUUCUGACGGUACCCAAAGAAUAAGCACCGGCUAACUUCGUG
rnacentral:rRNA from 1 species